ensembl:snoRNA
UGAACCAAUGAAGAUAACUGGUGGUGUAUGUGUUGUGGAUGGUGAAUAAUAUGUGUCUGGAACUUUGAGGUCCAG